UCCCGCUUAGCUCAGUUGGUAGAGCGCGUCACUAGUAUACUCCGACUAAAGCGGUCGGUUGCUUAUGACGAGGCCAGUCGUUCGAGUCGGCUAGUGGGAA